AUACGUAGGGGGCAAGCGUUAUCCGGAAUCAUUGGGCGUAAAGGGUGCGUAGGCGGCCCUAUAGGUCAGAGGUCAAAGGCUACGGCUCAACCGUAGUAAGCCUUUGAAACUGUAGGGCUUGAGUGCAGGAGAGGAGAGUGGAAUUCCUAGUGUAGCGGUGAAAUGCGUAGAUAUUAGGAGGAACACCAGUGGCGAAGGCGACUCUCUGGACUGCAACUGACGCUGAGGCACGAAAGCGUGGGGAGCGAACAGGAGUAGAUACCCUGGUAGUCCACGCCGUAAACGAUGAGUGCUAGGUGUCGGGGGUCGGACCUCGGUGCCGCAGUUAACGCAUUAAGCACUCCGCCUGGGGAGUACGUACGCAAGUAUGAA
rnacentral:rRNA from 1 species